ACAUCAGGAAUGAGAAAGCCCUUGGGAAGCCUGGGGCUUGGUUUUUUCUGCAGUUAGAUUUGGGAACUGAUUCUUCUUCCCCCACCCCGUCUGUGUCACCCACACAGGAAGAGUGCUGAGCUCCCGCUGUGAAGGAGGAAAGCAGGCCCGGAACCCUGGAAUGUUUUUCAAAGAGCAAUAAAGAUGUCUCCCAGGGAUGGAGCACUCACAGGAUUCUACUCGUGCAUGAGAAAUAGAAGAGGUACUGUGGGUGAGAAGCACCGGACCAGAAUUGAAGCAUGUGAAUGUCUGGGAUCCAGUGCCUGCUGCCAAGUGACUCAGCGUGUCUCUUCACAGGCUCUGAAUCACACAAACAGGAAGCCCCCAGAGGGUGGUGCAUUCUCUGCAGAGUCGUUUGCAGUGUGUGUGCUGUUGUCCAGUGCACAGUGAGUCCCCAUCAUUCUGAAAGGCUGGUGUCCCUGUCCCACAUCACUUAGAGGAACACGCUGUGGCAGACUUCUGGCACUGGAGAGUGAUAGUUCAUUCUUACCUUAAACUAGGUCAUCUUUGCUGCAUGGGAGACAUUUGAAAGGGUGACAUUUGUGGUCAGGCUGUAAAGUCAAAGGCUUCUAUGUUGGCUGCAAGUAGACUCAGCAGUUGGAAACAUGUAUGGGAUGCAAGGAAGCUAGAGGUGGUCUCACUUUAGAGCCAAAGUGGUGCUUCAAACUCUACGUGGAAAAGUGGUUUCCAAGUUAAGACUCACUGAAACCACUUCUGAAAUCAUUUUGGACAAGCUACUUGUCCACAGCUUUCCUAUGGACUUCCUACAGACUGGAACUCAUUGUGGAUGCUUUCGGCAUAGAGAAGGAAGCCUGCACUGACAGUGUCUCCAGAGCGGUACAGGCUUUGAGGCUGGACUUGGCCCUGUCCUCAUAAUCUUGGGCAAGUCAAUUCUGUGGCCCCAUUCCUGUUUCUUGAUGUAUAAGAUUAAGGGUCAGUUUCAGCAGUGACAUCUUCUCAUUUGACCAAAGCCAGUAUAGAAAUCAUAAUGAUCAAUAACAAAUAUGCUGCACUGCUGGGGUUCGCACAUGCCUUGUCCCCUCCCAGAAGAACUUUCUUUGGGCUGAAAGCCAUGAUCUAACAACAUCAUUACCCACAACCUGGUCCAAACUCUACCUGUGGCAAAACACACCUGAGAAAAUUCAGUGAACAUGAACUCAACUAGACUAUGGAACUCAGUUGGCUUCAAAGUCAGGCACUUGGCUGAUUGAAACUAACGAUGUCUACAGGAGAACUUUCAAAGGAGCUGGGUGGUUUUCAGUGGCAGAGUAUGUUCUUGGCUAAUGUGGCCCUAGAGCAUUCAGAGCUACCUUGAGCAGCUCCCCUGGUCCCUGGAUGCACUCAAAGGCUCUGUGCAAGUUGGUGCUGCUUACAGAAGGUGAGCUGGGCAGUCAAGGACUCAGUCGCUAUGCUACCUGCUCCUGAAGGCUCGGCCCUAAUCCUGGGUGUUGAAUUUGAAGAUAGUUCUUUUUCUGUGGCUCUCAGACACUUGUGAAGCCCUUUUCCCUCCUGCUUCUCAGAACCCUGUGUUUACCAUCACUACAUGUGAUGGACACAGCCCCGGGGUUCCUUCUCGACUUUGUGCUCCCUUCCCAUUGGCCACUUCGCUAAGUUGAAUAAGUCUCAUGCUGAAGACCAGGGCACUGGCUGUGCCAUGAGGUUGUCUCUCUAAUUAAUUGUUCAUAAAUAUUCGUUAGGCAACAGGUGGGCUGUUAACCUGCCAAUGCACAAUCUAUGCAGCAAGGCCACAUUUGACAGGAAGGGAGGACAGAAAUAAUGUUCUCCAGUUGAACUUCCCAGAAACAAAAUUUAGUACCACACAGUCUGUAAAAUGAACCCAACUUAAAGCUGUGCUAAUCAAUGGUUCUGAGGGAAAGGUGCGGUUGAGAUAAAUAGCUUCUGGAGGAAGGACCAGACAAUCGCUUCAACAUCCUUAUCGACCUGUGCUGUUUGAUUUACCUGGCUGCUCGGUGAAAGGCUACAUGAUCAGACCUUAAAUCAACCUGACAAGGGGCAUCUGCCAACCCUACCCCAUCCAUCUUCAUUUGUCUUUCACAAGCACUGGAGCAACACUCAACCAGCACUGGUUUGGUUUUCAGCUGCUCCUGCUGGCCUUUACUGAGUGGGCUUGCAAAGCUCCCACACAAACUUUGAAAUAGUAAUUUUGCACAGUGUCUGGUCUCCCGUCAUUUCAUUGACAAGAAGUGGGUUCAUCUGUGCUACAUGUACUGUUGGCUUCGUGAAAUGAAAAUAAACCCUUUUGCCUCCCAUAAUUUCUUGUCGUUCUUCAUUUCUUUAGGAAAUAAACUGCUUGUCUCUGACAAGUUAACAGAAUAGGAACCUGCAGAAAAACAUUUUUACUUACAUUUGAG
ensembl:lincRNA